rnacentral:tRNA from 1 species
GGUAGGUUGGCUCAGUGGGUAGAGCUAAGAACUCGCGACUGAGAGGUCCCGGGUUCGAAUCUCGAAAGAGGCG